rnacentral:rRNA from 1 species
AGUGAACGCUGGCGGUAGGCCUAACACAUGCAAGUCGAACGGCAGCACAGUAAGAGCUUGCUCUUACGGGUGGCGAGUGGCGGACGGGUGAGGAAUACAUCGGAAUCUACUUUUUCGUGGGGGAUAACGUAGGGAGACUUACGCUAAUACCGCAUACGACCUACGGGUGAAAGCAGGGGAUCUUCGGACCUUGCGCGAUUGAAUGAGCCGAUGUCGGAUUAGCUAGUUGGGGGGGUAAAGGCCCACCAAGGCGACGAUCCGUAGCUGGUCUGAGAGGAUGAUCAGCCACACUGGAACUGAGACACGGUCCAGACUCCUACGGGAGGCAGCAGUGGGGAAUAUUGGACAAUGGGCGCAAGCCUGAUCCAGCCAUACCGCGUGGGUGAAGAAGGCCUUCGGGUUGUAAAGCCCUUUUGUUGGGAAAGAAAAGCAGCAGGUUAAUACCCCGCUGUUCUGACGGUACCCAAAGAAUAAGCACCGGCUAACUUCGUG